CGCGAGUAUUCAGAGUUUGAUCCUGGCUCAGAUUGAACGCUGGCGGCAUGCCUUACACAUGCAAGUCGAACGGUAACAGGUCUUCGGAUGCUGACGAGUGGCGAACGGGUGAGUAAUACAUCGGAACGUGCCCGAUCGUGGGGGAUAACGAAGCGAAAGCUUUGCUAAUACCGCAUAAGAUCUACGGAUGAAAGCAGGGGACCGCAAGGCCUUGCGCGAACGGAGCGGCCGAUGGCAGAUUAGGUAGUUGGUGGGAUAAAAGCUUACCAAGCCGACGAUCUGUAGCUGGUCUGAGAGGACGACCAGCCACACUGGGACUGAGACACGGCCCAG
rnacentral:rRNA from 1 species